rnacentral:rRNA from 1 species
GAUGAAUGCUGGCGGCGUGCCUAAUACAUGCAAGUCGAGCGAACGGACGAGAAGCUUGCUUCUCUGAUGUUAGCGGCGGACGGGUGAGUAACACGUGGAUAACCUACCUAUAAGACUGGGAUAACUUCGGGAAACCGAAGCUAAUACCGGAUAAUAUUUUGAACCGCAUGGUUCAAAAGUGAAAGACGGUCUUGCUGUCACUUAUAGAUGGAUCCGCGCUGCAUUAGCUAGUUGGUAAGGUAACGGCUUACCAAGGCAACGAUGCAUAGCCGACCUGAGAGGGUGAUCGGCCACACUGGAACUGAGACACGGUCCAGACUCCUACGGGAGGCAGCUGUAGGGAAUCUUCCGCAAUGGGCGAAAGCCUGACGGAGCAACGCCGCGUGAGUGAUGAAGGUCUUCGGAUCGUAAAACUCUGUUAUUAGGGAAGAACAUAUGUGUAAGUAACUGUGCACAUCUUGACGGUACCUAAUCAGAAAGCCACGGCUAACUACGUG